rnacentral:tRNA from 1 species
UUGUAGCUCAGUUGGAUAGAGCAAUGGCCUUCUAAGCCAUGUGUCCAGGGUUCGAAUCCCCG